ACACUUCCCAGUCUAAGACCUUGUUUUUGGUUACUUAUAACUUUGCCAAACUUUAACUAUUUGGGCUGAAAUUUUCCAUAGCAGGUAUUAGCCAAAAUAGUUCAGAACAAGACUAGAGAAAAAUACAGUUUUUCAAUAUUAAAAGAAUUCUAGCAAUCUUUUCUUUGGAAACUCGAGGCCACCAUUAUUUGGACCAGGGACUUGACAUUUGGCAGGGGGUGUCCUUUGUGUCAGGAUGUGCCUUUUACCAUCCCUGUGAAAAUCUGCCCAGAUUUGACCAGGGAGAAGCCUCUGAAAAAAAUCACAGUUUGUACUUGCACAGUAGAGACUUGCUAAAUUCUGGAAUCACUGAGCAUAUCUGAGCCUCUCACAGCUCCUAGUUGUGACUAGGCUGUGCAUGUGCCAUCCCCACAGAGCUGCUGAGCAUGUUCAAGCGCAGGGCUAUGAGGUUAUGGCUGCUCCCGACUGCUCCAGGCAGGGUGGGACUGGACAUUGGAACUGAGAGCUGGGCAUCUGCCUUUCCUGUGCUCCCAGUGCACCCCUGCCAGUGUGGAGGAGGAAGAGGCCAUCUGAUUCAAAUGCAGAGGCCACAAGAGCCCAACCUAAGGCAUUGUAGAGGAGGCCUGGGGAAGUAGAUUGGGACAAGGAGCCUGCAGGAGGAGACUGGGACUUGCUAGGCAAGGAGACUCAGUCUCACAGUCAGAGAGGAAAACAGGUGCAUACUGCAUAAUGCAUACUACAAAGGGGCCAAAUUAAGUUUGCACAGGCACUUCAAUUCUUGUGUUACCUAAAUUUUGAGUGUUUGACUUUGUAAACAUAAAGUUCUUUUAACACAGGUGUUUUGUGUGUAAUUUCAUAUAUGGCAUUUGGCAGGGGGUGUCCUUUGUGUCAGGGAUGUUCCUAUGUGUUUAUGCAUUUCUGUUAUAAAGGCCGUGGUAUAGACAAUCUUUGACAUUUUCAGUGCUUCACUCUGCACAUUUAACAUUCUUUUAAAGUAGCUUUUUGUAUGGACUAUACUUUUAUUCCACUUGAGAUCAAUUGAUCGUAAGAGUUUGUUCCAGGAAACAGGGAUUUGCGCUAAUUAACCAACAUUUUAAUGCCUUCUGUAUUCCACUGGUGUGAUGCUAACUGUGCACUGGGUUACUACAACUAGCUGGGACUUGGAGAGAGGUGAAAUCAAGGCAGUGAUGUGACAUUCAUAAGCCCAAAUUCAGCCCUGGGAAAAGAGGGUAUAGCUCUCAUUGAUUCUGAUGGGAAUAGCUCAGGAUUGAAGUUGAUCGAUGGGGUUUGCAUCUCUAUUAAACAGUAAAGCAAGUGGGUAAACACUAAACAGUUCACUUAGGGAACUUAGAUUGAAAGAGGGAAAUCAAAGAUGCCUGAAGGUAAUUUAAAUAUAAAGGGCUUGGGGCUUCUCUACAUUACAGACACUACAGCAGCACAGCUAUGGAGCUGCAGUAGUGAAGACAUUUCCUACAGCAACUGAUGGGGAUUUUCCAUCACUGUAGUUGUCACCCCUGUGAGAGGUGGUAGCUAGCUUGACAGAAGAAUUCUUCCAUCAGCCUAGCCGGGUCUACACCAGAGAUUAGGCCAAAUUAACUACAGAACUUGGGUGUGUACUUUUUCCCACACACUGAGCGAUAUAGAAGAUCAAUCUAAUUUUUCAGUGUAGACCAGCCCUCAGUACUUACUGAGGCAAAACUCCCAUUGGUUUAAGGACUGGAUGUUAUAUAAAAGGAACUCAGUGCCAGAGCAUAACAGGAAAAUGUGAACUAGAAGGGCAGAGUAUCACACCAAAGGAUAAUUAUAUAAAAUUAAGGGAGAAAUUUAAUUGUGUUGAAAGUGAAAUUUAGAUCUUCAGCCUACCAGUCCUAGUACAGUGCACAGUAGAGAGGGCCAGUUGCUGUCCUCCAGCACAAAGAUGAGCAGAUUUCAGUUACUUUAUCUUUGAAAUAAUGAAAUAAAAUGACCACAUGAUGGCAGCCUAGAAUCCUAAAUGAGAGAGCUUGUGUUAUGCUAUGCUUCAGCAUGACUGUUUCUAAGUACUGUCUGAUUUUAACUGUUUCCUUGUAAAGAGAGACCCAGAUUAAAACCUUAGAUCCAGUCAUCCUCCAACUUUAGGGAGGUUUGGAUCUGUCUCUGAACUUUGCAGCUUGGACCCAUCUCCAUUUCUUGGGCUCUCCUUGAAGACUGCAUUCUUUCUCUCAGACAACAUCUUGCCAAUCUCUGGCAGCCUUCCUUUUUCCACAAUGCAAUGGCCUCUGGCAGCCUCCCUCACUUUCCUAAGAGUUAGCUGGUCUGCCUGGACCCUGUUAGGCCAACACUCCCACUCUGCUUCUCCUUCCUUCAUUCCCCCCACCCACCCAGAACAUCUUUCAAAGACCCUUCCUUGAAGUCAGUGCUGAAACAGCAUCAUUAAAUCAAGUUCUCCUCAUCCACCUAUAGGAAAAAGCAAAAACUACAACCUAAUCUUCAUAAUCCUGACUUCUAAGACUGCAAUGGUGGACCAUUGUAUCCCAGUGUCCCUAAAAUCAGAGAGCUUCCUCUAUGCCAGCAUGGACUCACAUCAGCACCUCUGAAGUCUUUUUUAUGAUCUUCCACACCAGUAGGUCAGUGGAUUCCACCUGCGCCAGAAAUGGGAGGGCCAUUCCCCCCCAACACACACACUUUUUAAAAAAGAAUCAUAAGCACAGAAUUUCUUUUUCACCGCAGAAUAAUAGAUUCUGCGGGGGAGGUGCUGCAAUUACACCUUUUGCCCCCCAGGAGUUGCUGUGGCACCAGAAGAGAGGGCAGCUGGCUCACCACCAGAGCAGCCAGUCGUGAAGAGAAAGGGGGCACUUUGGUCUUGGCCCCUUUACUUCUACAAAGAUUCCAGCACUCUUGGACUCCCCCACUGGCUUUUCCUUCCACCAAUGUUAGAGCCUUUUUCUCCCUUGCUCUCUCUACCAGGUUAGAAAGCCAGUACCUUGUUCCCUCAAUAUUAGCAGUUAAAUCUGAAUUACAUUUAUAGGUUGUGGGGGGAACAAGCUCCCUGGACUCCCCCUGAGUCCCACUGUCCCAUCAUUUACCCCUUCUUCUCCCCGUUUGGCAGCCUUUGGGGAAUCUCUCUGCAGCCUCAUGUUCUUAUGCCUACUGCCCACAAGCUGAAGUUUGGCUCCUGUUCUUCCCUUCCCUUUACAAGAGGGGAAGCUCUGGCUGGAACAAGGAUCAGCCUCUCAGGCGGCCCCUAGAGAGUCAGCUCUAAGGGCUCAGUCUCUCAGAAUCUAUUGCCUCAUCGAAGGGUUUACCUUCUACCCUUCUUCCUGGGGCAUAUUGCUUUACCAUCAGUCAGGGCGGCUUCGGGAGCUGUGCAUCUUGCGGCUGUCUGAGUCUCCUCCUCGGCUGGACUCCCUCUGUUGCCAACAAUCUCUGGCUGGAGCAACCUUCUUCCUUUUUACUGUCCCUUCCUGUGGUAGGUUUCCCUCCUUUAAGCUCCUCCCACUCCAGGCUGAGCAAGCCUUGCAGGUGUGUCUUGUUAGCAUGAAACAGGCACAGAGGAGAUAAUUAGCCUCUUCCAUACCAGGGUGAGGACAUGUCCCUUCACAUACCCUACCCCUCAAGAUGGGAAAAACAUUUGGGGUUGAGUUGUCUCCAACCCUGAUCUGUGAAAAGAAAUCUGCGUGAGCAUGGUCCGUUCCCACCCAGUAUCAGAAACUAUAAGAUUGAAUGAGGGUUCGUAUCCCUAAUGGACUGGACCCAGCAUAGGGGCGCAUGAUCAGUGAUCAGGGAAAAGGGGCUGUGCAAUGGGUAAUACCUGAGGGCUUCUACUGCCCAUUGGAUAGUGAAUGCAUCCUUUCCAAUGAUGGAGUACUACUUUUCCCUUGUGAACAGCUUCCUACUUAGGUAAAGGUCCUGGUGUUCUCCCCCUUCAAAGUCUUGUGAAAGGAUGGCGCUGAGACUGAUGUCCUAGGCAUCAGGGUGUAAUAUGAAUUCCCCAGAAAAAAAGCAGGGCUGAAGAGCAUGGUUCCCUGACAUAAUCAUGUUUUCAGUUCUCUGAACACUUUCUUGCACUUCCCAUCCCAAUGGAUUUUCUUAGGGUUGUUGCCUUUUAUGAAGUCUAUAAGUGGGGCUGCAAUUGAGGCUAAGCCGGGGAUAUACCACUAGUAAUAUCCUGCCAGGGCAAGAAAAUGUCUGACUUGCCUCUUUGUCUGGGGGACAGGACAUGCCUACACCUUAUCAACCACUAGUUUUGCCAGGCCACCUUCUACGCAUUAUCCCAGAUAGGUCACUUCACUCAUAGCCACCUUACAUUUCGCCAGGUUGGCUCUAAGUCAUACCUCCUAUAAUGCUUUUAACACUUCCUAUAAAUGCUGUAAGUGGUCUUCCCAGGUGGUACUGUAGACGAUAUUGAUGAUGAAUGCCUGUGGUGGGCCUAGUGCCGCACCACCCCUUUGUGGCAGAGGUGGGAUGGGGUGUCGGAACCUUGCCACUCCCAAGUUCACGUGCUCGCCUUUCUGUGGGUGGCCCGAUGCGGCCUAAUGGCCUCUCUCCACACAAUCACCUGUUGGGCAGGGUAGUGUUCCCUAACGGCCAGAGUCCAUAUAAAUCGCUCCCCGCAUUGGAGCAGUGUGGCCCAAUGGCCAGAGUCCAUAUAACUCUUUCCUCACAGGUGGGGUAGUACAGCCUAGUGGCCUGAAUCCACGUAACUCACCCCAAGUGUCAGGGCAGUGUGGCCAAAUGGCCAGGGUCCAUAUAAAUCAUUCCCAGCGUUGGAGCAGUGCGGCCCAAUGGCCAGCAUCUAUAUAAUCACCCCCAUCAGACAGGGUAGCGUGGCCUAGCAGCCAGAGUAUGUAUGAUUCCCAUGGUGUGGGGGGUGGGGUGGUAGAGGGACCCGGACCCGCCCUCUCCACUUGGUCCUGACCCAGGGCCCUGGUAGUGGCAAGUUCCCCUUGAAACCAGCUUGGUGGGGAUCCACCCGAAACACGCCGAGCGUCUGUACGGCUCUAAUGCCGUUUUCCUCUAAAGUUCCCUUGGGUCUGUCAAACCAGACAGAAUUGAUCAGUUUGGCAAAGCAGCUCCCUCUGCUGUGCACCUAGGCAGAGUACAUGUGUCUAUGAAAACAUAAUUUGCUCCUGAAGUCUUUUCCUCUGUGCAUCACUAGAUGUCAGGGGAGAACUCACUCAGACCAUGCUUACAGAAGAAAGAACAAAAGGCAAACAAGAGUAGCCACAUAUGGAACCCAAGGAACCAGCCUCAGCCUCCUCUUUCUUUGUGAUGUCACAGUUAAACAGGACAAGGGGGAGGGAGACUUUAAUUCAGCACCAGCAUCAUGCAAUUGCUUAGCUAAGGAAGGAAGAAAGGAAGAAGAUUUAAGUUUCCUUUCUUUUUUAACCUGAAAUGCAAGAAGCCCAAACUUUGACUAGAAACCAAACUCAGGCGAGUUAUUGGAACAGACUCGCCAAGUUUGCCAGUCAUUAAUUACAACCAAGGAUAUCUGUAUGUGAUAGGAGGAAACUUAUUGCAUAAUAUUGGAAUCUUAGAUAUUGUAAAUUCUAUUUGCACCUUCUUCUGAACCAAGCUAGCAAGUAAACAAUCAAAAAGGAAAAGAAAGAAAGAAAUCGGGUAUUACAGGGUAGCAAAACAAAUAAUAAAAUAAUAAACUUUUCUUUGUCUUACAGGCCAAUCCCAUGGAAAGCGGCAGUGAGCUUCCUACAGUAACAGGAACAAGCUACAUAUUUCAGAAUUACAACGUGAAAAAAAAGUACAUCUUGCAAAUCAGAGCAAAGGGAGAUGCAUGUCUCGUAAGCCAGAAUUGGGGGGAAUGGAGUGAACCCAUUGAGUUUGGUGACCAUGAAUGAUUUCACUCUCCUGAGGCUGACACAGAAAGAUAAAGACCGAAUGUUGCA